CUCCUACGGGAGGCAGCAGUGGGGAAUAUUGGACAAUGGGCGCAAGCCUGAUCCAGCCAUGCCGCGUGAGUGAUGAAGGCCCUAGGGUUGUAAAGCUCUUUCACCGGAGAAGAUAAUGACGGUAUCCGGAGAAGAAGCCCCGGCUAACUUCGUGCCAGCAGCCGCGGUAAUACGAAGGGGGCUAGCGUUGUUCGGAAUUACUGGGCGUAAAGCGCACGUAGGCGGAUCGAUCAGUCAGGGGUGAAAUCCCAGGGCUCAACCCUGGAACUGCCUUUGAUACUGUCGAUCUGGAGUAUGGAAGAGGGGAGUGGAAUUCCGAGUGUAGAGGUGAAAUUCGUAGAUAUUCGGAGGAACACCAGUGGCGAAGGCGGCUCACUGGUCCAUUACUGACGCUGAGGUGCGAAAGCGUGGGGAGCAAACAGGAUUAGAUACCCCUGUAGUCCCAUGA
rnacentral:rRNA from 1 species